AUUGAACGCUGGCGGCAGGCCUAACCCAUGCAAGUCGAGCGAGCGGAGGACGGGUGAGUAAUGUAUGGGAAACUGCCUGAUGGAGGGGGAUAACUACUGGAAACGGUAGCUAAUACCGCAUACCAUCAGAUGUGCCCCGAUGGGAUUAGCUAGUAGGUUGGGUAACGGCUCACCUAGUCGACGAGCCCUAGCUGGUCUGAGAGGCAGACCAGCCACACUGGAACUGAGACACGGGCCAGACGCCUACGGGAGGCAGCAGUGGGGAAUAUUGCACAAUGGGCGCAAGCCUGAUGCAGCCAUGCCGCGUGUGUGAAGAAGGCCUUCGGGUUGUAAAGCACUUUCAGCGGGGAGGCGUUACCCGCAGAAGAAGCACCGGCUAACUCCGUGCCAGCAGCCGCGGUAAUAC
rnacentral:rRNA from 1 species